AAUAUUGCGCAAUGGAGGAAACUCUGACGCAGCGACGCCGCGUGAGCGAUGAAGGNUUNNGGAUCNUNAAGCUCUGUCCUUGGNNNNNAAGGUCUUCGGCCUUGACGGUACCCAAGAAGAAAGCCCCGGCUAACUACGUGCCAGCAGCCGCGGUAAUACGUAGGGGGCAAGCGUUGUCCGGAAUUAUUGGGCGUAAAGGGUGCGUAGGAGGCCUUUUAAGUCAGAUGUGAAAGCCCACGGCUUAACCGUGGAGGGUCAUUGGAAACUGGGAAGCUUGAGUGCAGAAGAGGAGAGUGGAAUUCCAUGUGUAGCGGUGAAAUGCGUAGAGAUAUGGAGGAACACCAGUGGCGAAGGCGACUCUCUGGUCUGCAACUGACGCUGAGGCGCGAAAGCGUGGGGAGCGAACA
rnacentral:rRNA from 1 species